UAUAGGCUAUGGCUACUAUACUAUUAUGAGUAUUGGAGCCCUCGUACUCAUAAGUUGUUUUCAAUGGAGCUUCCGAAUCGACGAUCCACUCCGUUAAAUAUGAUCUAGAGUAUUUGAAAUUUCUAGAAAAUAAGUUUCGUAAAUUUUCAAAAUCAUAAUAAAGUCCAUCAAGUGGGCAUAAAAUGAACGGUCAAAAUCGAACGACGUUCUAAAAAAAGAUGAUCGGAUCCUUCAAUUCAAGAUCGGAGUUAUUGAUCUUUAUCUAUGUAGUGAAUAGAAUUUUUUAUCAAAAAUUCAACAAAUUCCGAUUCUUUUACACCGUUAAACUAGCAAGUAUCCCAUACUGGCCGUUAAAAAUUAUCAAAUUUGUGACCUCUUGAUCGUAAGGUAAAUGAUGUCGAAAAAUUAUAAAAUU
rnacentral:lncRNA from 1 species